CGGCAUUGGCGCGUGCUAUACAUGCAAGUCGAACGAACUCUGGUAUUGAUUGGUGCUUGCAUCAUGAUUUACAUUUGAGUGAGUGGCGAACUGGUGAGUAACACGUGGGAAACCUGCCCAGAAGCGGGGGAUAACACCUGGAAACAGAUGCUAAUACCGCAUAACAACUUGGACCGCAUGGUCCGAGUUUGAAAGAUGGCUUCGGCUAUCACUUUUGGAUGGUCCCGCGGCGUAUUAGCUAGAUGGUGAGGUAACGGCUCACCAUGGCAAUGAUACGUAGCCGACCUGAGAGGGUAAUCGGCCACAUUGGGACUGAGACACGGCCCAARCUCCUAACGGGAGGGCAGCAGUAGGGAAUYUUUCCACCAAUGGACGAAAGUCUGAUGGAGCAACGSCGCGUGGAGGUGAAGAAGGGGUUUCGGCCUCGUAAAACUCUGUUGUUAAAGAAGAACAUAUCUGAGAGUAACUGUUCAGGUAUUGACGGUAUUUAACCAGAAAGCCACGGCUAACUACGUGCCAGCAGCCGCGGUAAUACGUAGGUGGCAAGCGUUGUCCGGAUUUAUUGGGCGUAAAGCGAGCGCAGGCGGUUUUUUAAGUCUGAUGUGAAAGCYUUCGGCUCAACCGAAGAAGUGCAUCGGAAACUGGGAAACUUGAGUGCAGAAGAGGACAGUGGAACUCCAUGUGUAGCGGUGAAAUGCGUAGAUAUAUGGAAGAACACCAGUGGCGAAGGCGGCUGUCUGGUCUGUAACUGACGCUGAGGCUCGAAAGUAUGGGUAGCAAACAGGAUUAGAUACCCUGGUAGUCCAUACCGUAAACGAUGAAUGCUAAGUGUUGGAGGGUUUCCGCCCUUCAGUGCUGCAGCUAACGCAUUAAGCAUUCCGCCUGGGGAGUACGGCCGCAAGGCUGAAACUCAAAGGAAUUGACGGGGGCCCGCACAAGCGGUGGAGCAUGUGGUUUAAUUUCGAAGCUACGCGAAGAACCUUACCAGGUCUUGACAUACUAUGCAAAUCUAAGAGAUUAGACGUUCCCCUUCGGGGACAUGGAUACAGGUGGUGCAUGGUUGUCGUCAGCUCGUGUCGUGAGAUGUUGGGUUAAGUYCCGCAACGAGCGCAACCCUUAUUAUCAGUUGCCAGCAUUAAGUUGGSCACCUCUGGUGGAAGACUGCCGGUGACAAACCGGAGGAAGGUGGGGAUGACGUCAAAUCAUCAUGCCCCUUAUGACCUGGGCUACACACGUGCUACAAUGGAUGGUACAACGAGUUGCGAACUCGCGAGAGUAAGCUAAUCUCUUAAAGCCAUUCUCAGUUCGGAUUGUAGGCUGCAACUCGCCUACAUGAAGUCGGAAUCGCUAGUAAUCGCGGAUCAGCAUGCCGCGGUGAAUACGUUCCCGGGCCUUGUACACACCGCCCGUCACACCAUGAGAGUUUGUAACACCCAAAGUCGGUGGGGUAACCUUUUAGGAACCAGCCGCGUAAGGUGACAGGUUGG
rnacentral:rRNA from 1 species